ensembl:snoRNA
UUGGCUCUGAAUCAAGACCAGCAUUUUGCUGAAGCUGUCGGUUUCAAGCAGGAGCCUAAAGAAAUGUCUUUCUGAGGUCUGUUGACUGUUUCAGAACUUCGGAAAUUUAAUGGUCAAUACAUUGGGAAGAAACAGCA